rnacentral:lncRNA from 1 species
AUUCCAUGUCUGUGUGAAGUUGGCAGGUUCUUAUUUUAAUACGCUGCCUCAUAACCAUCAUCCUAAUCUGAGUUGAGGGGGUGCAUUUUGGCGAUGGAGAAAAACAUGGCCUUGUGAGAAAACAGGAAAAAAUGUCUCAGGGUCAUUGUCAAGGAGUCCUUUUUAUGCUCCGGUAAGAAAGAUGUGGAAACUCAAAUAAAGAGAGGUGAAAGAGUCCCCAGGACAACACAAAAAGGUGACAGAGCCACUGAAUUUAAAUCCAUACCCUCUAAUUCAAGGAAAUGAAAGAAGAGUUUUGAAGAGACAGCUGCCCUCCAUGCUCACGGCAGCAUCAUUCAAAACAGCUAAGAUGAAGAAACAACUAAAAAAGUCUGUUGAGAAAUGAAUAAAGAAAUACAAUAAUUUGUUUUUUUCUUCUUCCCACUUUCAACUUGUGAGACCCCAUCACUGCCUUUUGGACUCUUGCUUCUUUUCUGAUUCAUGUUCCUGUUCACCAUCACCUGCCCCACAGCACCCUCACAGGAAAAGAAAAAAAAAAGCCAAAACAAAACCGAUCUCUUUGUUCACUGGAUCAAAAGUCUUUUAUUAUAGUGCAUUCAGACAUUCAGAAUACAUAUAUGAGGCCUGCU